rnacentral:rRNA from 1 species
UGGGGUAUAUUGCACAAUGGGCGAAAGCCUGAUGCAGCGACGCCGCGUGGGGGAUGAAGGCCUUCGGGUUGUAAACUUCUUUUGCUCUGAACAAGGCAUGCUAAUGGGUGUGUUGAGUGUAGGGGUUGAUUAGCGCCGGCUAACUACGUGCCAGCAGCCGCGGUAAUACGUAGGGCGCGAGCGGUGUCCGGAAUUAUUGGGUGUAAAGGGCUUGUAGGUGGCUGGUUGCGUCUGUCGUGAAAGAUCAUGGGUUAACGGUGGGUUUGCGGUGGGUACGGGCUGGCUUGAGUGCAGUAGGGGAGGCUGGAAUUCCUGGUGUAGCGGGGGGAUGCGCAGAUAUCAGGAGGAAUACCGGUGGCGAAGGCGGGUCUCUGGGCUGUUACUGACACUGAGGAGCGAAAGCAUGGGGGGCGAACAGG